UGUAAGGCUCAGAGAUGACGCCCCUCCCUUCGGGGACACCUGGAGAGGUGCUGCAUGGCUGUCGUCAGCUCGUGUCGUGAGAUGUUGGGUUAACGUCCCGCAACGAGCGCAACCCUUGUCCAUAGUUACUAACGGGUAGUGCCGAGAACUCUAUGGAGACUGCCGGUGAUAAACCGGAGGAAGGUGGGGAUGACGUCAAGUCCUCAUGGCCUUUAUGUCCAGGGCUACACACGUGCUACAAUGGACGGCACAAAGAGUCGCGAAACCGCGAGGUAGAGCUAAUCUCAAAAAACCGUUCUCAGUUCGGAUUGCAGUCUGCAACUCGACUGCAUGAAGCUGGAAUCGCUAGUAAUCGCGGAUCAGCACGCCGCGGUGAAUACGUUCCCGGGCCUUGUACACACCGCCCGUCACAUCACGAAAGUCGGUUGCACUAGAAGUCGGUGGGCUAACCCGCAAGGGGGGCAGCCGCCUAAAGUGUGAUCGGUAAUUGGGGUGAAGUCGUAACAAGGUAGGCGUAGUGCU
rnacentral:rRNA from 1 species